rnacentral:rRNA from 1 species
UACGUAGGGUGCGAGCGUUGUCCGGAAUUACUGGGCGUAAAGGGCUCGUAGGCGGUUUGUCGCGUCGGGAGUGAAAACACCGGGCUUAACUCGGUGCUUGCUUUCGAUACGGGCAGACUAGAGGUAUGCAGGGGAGAACGGAAUUCCUGGUGUAGCGGUGAAAUGCGCAGAUAUCAGGAGGAACACCGGUGGCGAAGGCGGGUCUCUGGGCCAUAACUGACGCUGAGGAGCGAAAGCGUGGGGAGCGAACAGG